UACGGAGGAUGCGAGCGUUAUCCGGAUUUAUUGGGUUUAAAGGGUGCGUAGGCGGAAUGCCAAGUCAGCGGUAAAAGCCCGGGGCUCAACCUCCGCCCGCCGUUGAAACUGACGGUCUUGAGUGGGCGAGAAGUAUGCGGAAUGCGUGGUGUAGCGGUGAAAUGCAUAGAUAUCACGCAGAACUCCGAUUGCGAAGGCAGCAUACCGGCGCCCAACUGACGCUGAAGCACGAAAGCGUGGGUAUCGAACAGG
rnacentral:rRNA from 1 species